rnacentral:miRNA from 1 species
UAGUCCACGAGCAGUCUGUGAC